UACGUAGGGUGCGAGCGUUGUCCGGAAUUAUUGGGCGUAAAGAGCUUGUAGGCGGUUUGUCGCGUCUGCCGUGAAAUUUCGAGGCUCAACCUCGAACUUGCGGUGGGUACGGGCAGACUAGAGUGUGGUAGGGGAGACUGGAAUUCCUGGUGUAGCGGUGAAAUGCGCAGAUAUCAGGAGGAACACCGAUGGCGAAGGCAGGUCUCUGGGCCACUACUGACGCUGAGAGGCGAAAGCAUGGGGAGCGAACAGG
rnacentral:rRNA from 1 species